GAUAACGUCAUCUGCCAAGCGUUCCACUCUCAACAUUAUUCUUCUCAGAGAAAAGGACUUUACAACCUUCCGGCCUUCUUCGUCCACGCGGCGUCGCUCCGUCAGGCUUUCGCCCAUUGCGGAAGAUUCUUAG
rnacentral:rRNA from 1 species